rnacentral:misc_RNA from 1 species
GAAAAUCCUUAAUUUUUACAGCAAUGGCGGAACCCAAAAUUAUCGAACUCAACAAUGGAAGCAUGCAAGUCAAAGUCUCCAAUUUGGGUUGCACUAUUCUCUCCUUAUCUGUGCCAGAUAAAGAUGGGAAUUUGGGUGAUGUGGUUCUUGGAUUUGAUACCCUCGAGCCAUACCAGAAAGGUUUAGCCCCAUAUUUUGGCUGCAUUGUGGGUCGAGUGGCAAAUAGGAUUAGAGAUGGGAAGUUUUCUCUGAAUGGAGUUGAUUACUCUUUACCCAUCAAUAGGCCCCCAAACAGUCUCCAUGGCGGACACAAGGGUUUUGACAAGGUUGUGUGGGAGGUUGCUGAACAUAAGGAGGGUGAACAUCCAUCAAUUACCUUUACGUAUCAUUGUCGUGAUGGCGAGGAAGGUUACCCGGGAGAUCUUUCUGUUACUGCAACGUACACACUUACCUCUAAGACGACACUCAGACUUGACAUGGAAGCUGUGCCUGCAAAUAAGGCUACUCCUGUUAGUUUAGCCCAGCACACCUAUUGGAACCUUGGUGGCCAUAAUUCAGGAGAUAUUCUCAACAACACAGCCCAAAUAUGGGCAAAUCAUAUCACUCCUGUUGAUCAGUAUACGGUCCCAACUGGAGAAAUAAUGCCUGUUAAAGGCACUCCAUUUGAUUUCACCUCUGAAAAGCAGAUUGGCCGUGAUAUCCAGCAGGUUGGCUUAGGGUAUGACCAUAAUUAUGUGCUAGACUGUGGAGACAAGAAAGAUGGCUUGAAGCAUGCUGCAAAAAUCAAGGAUCCUAAGAGUUCCAGAGUACUUGAUUUAUGGACCAAUGCUCCUGGCAUGCAGUUUUACACUGCAAACUAUGUCGAUGGAGUUGUUGGCAAAGGUGGAGCUGUUUAUAACAAGCAUGCUGGAGUCUGUUUAGAGACUCAAGGAUUUCCAAAUGCUAUCAACACACCAAAUUUUCCCUCUAUUGUCGUUCAGCCUGGUGACAAGUACAUACACAAUAUGGUGUAUGAAUUUUCAGUUGAAUAGAUUGUUUUAGGAUUUCUUCUAGACCAAAAUGAACCAGUAACGGUACUUCUGUUUAG